rnacentral:misc_RNA from 1 species
CGCUAAGUACAUCGAUGCCCGAUGCUUUUUUACAUCACUAGUCACUUUGUUAAUCAAAAUAUUAGAAAAAACUCCAUUUCCGCCUCGAAAGUGCAUUUCGCGAUCGCGCAAAAGUGCUAAUAAGUGCGCGACUUGUUCGUUGAUCUUGAAAGCUCUAGUAGGCGAUGAAAAUCAAGUGGAAAGCGAUCGUUUUUUCUUCUUAAACUUUUACUUACGGCAGACACGCACACGCACGCAGCUCACCGACGCACUCGCACACACACAACCACUCGCACGCGGAGAGAAGAGCAGCAAGCGGAGGAAGAAGAAGCAGAUCAUCAAACUUAGAAUUUGCGAGAUUCCUGGGCACCGGCUAGCCGUGACUGAGAGGAGGAGAAAUUGCACCCGCCCGGCACACAGCACACAGCAUGUUCAGUGAACAUGGGCGGAUUCCUGGAUAAGCCGAAAACCGCCAAGCACAAUGACGAGGGCGAGGGCAACAAGCUGCUCUUCGGGGUCAGCUCGAUGCAGGGAUGGCGGUCGGAGAUGGAGGACGCCUACUAUGCUCGUGCCGGGCUGGGGGAUGCCCUGCCGGACUGGAGCUUCUUUGCCGUGUUCGACGGACAUGCCGGAUGCAAGGUGUCGGAGCAUUGUGCCAAGCACCUUCUGGAGAGCAUUAUCAGCACCGAGGAGUUCAUUGGAGGCGACCACGUGAAGGGCAUUCGCACAGGCUUCCUGCGCAUCGACGAGGUUAUGCGGGAACUGCCGGAAUUCACCCGGGAGUCGGAGAAAUGCGGCGGAACUACCGCCGUGUGCGCCUUUGUCGGCCUCACGCAAGUGUACAUCGCCAAUUGUGGUGAUUCGAGGGCAGUCUUGUGCCGCCAGGGUGUUCCGGUGUUCGCCACGCAGGAUCACAAACCCAUUCUGCCAGAGGAGAAAGAGCGCAUCUACAAUGCCGGUGGCAGUGUUAUGAUAAAGCGCGUAAAUGGCACCCUGGCCGUGUCGAGAGCCCUUGGGGACUACGACUUUAAGAACGUCAAGGAGAAGGGACAGUGCGAGCAGUUGGUAUCGCCAGAACCGGAGAUAUUCUGUCAGAGCCGCCAGGAUAGCGAUGAGUUCCUGGUGCUCGCUUGCGAUGGAAUCUGGGACGUGAUGACCAACGAGGACGUGUGCAGCUUCAUCCACUCGCGAAUGCGGGUGACCAGUAACCUAGUGAGCAUCGCCAACCAGGUGGUGGACACCUGCCUGCACAAGGGUAGCCGCGACAACAUGAGCAUCAUCAUCAUUGCCUUUCCCGGAGCCCCGAAGCCCACCGAGGAGGCGAUAGAGGCUGAACAUCGUCUGGAGAAGCAAAUCGAGAAGAUCACAAGAGACGAGAUAGAGUCUAGCAAGGUAACCGACUACGUGGAUCUGCUGAAGUGUCUGCAGAACAGAGACGACAUCGAAGGUCUUCCACCCGGAGGAGGUCUGCAGUCCAAAUAUCACGUUAUCGAGCGCACAUUCAAGCAAGAGUUUCCGGAUCGACCAUGUGAACUGUAUGCAUAUGAUGAUAUAUGAAUUUUGUAAUGCUAAUUGUUCAUUUUUAAACCAACCAACCAACAACCAACCAACCAGCAAGAGAACAAAGAUAACUAAACACCCUAUGCUUCACAUACUCUAAAUAGUCCAACGCAUUAGGUUGCAGUCGAAACACGAAACAAAGCCAGUUAAGAAAAAGCAGCAACCAAUCAGAUCAGAACAGAAAAGAACAGAAGCAGAGCCACACAACUUGAACGAAGCAAAAACAUACAAGAACACACACCAAACAGUUUUCUACUUUGAUAAACACAAAAGAAAAACCUACUAAUAAUGAUAAUAAUAAGAGUAACGAUACAUUUAUAGUUUGUACGAAGCAGUCCUAAACACAACAAUACGAACAGCCACGCCCACACAACUUUAAGAUAUAGGAGAGAUCUAGAACAGAGCGUACCUGAGCAGACCUCAGAGACUCGGAAUCGGACGAAAUCACGAGGAUGGCUCAAAGCCAGCGCCAGGACCACACCGAACAGAUUACUCCGAUCGGAUCCCUCUGAAGGACCUAUCCAUCUAUGUGCACGUUGUAAACCCUCUGUGUGCCCUUUCGUUCCGUCACUCCUCCUCAUCAAUCAGCUAUCAGCAGUAGGAAAAGCGCCGGGAAAAACUAAUGGAAAAUGUGGUAUCAAAUGUUAUUGAGAACGGAGGACAGUUAAGAAACCGCGAGAGUCUCGCUCAAAUUUUUGUGUAAAAGAACUUUAUAUUUUCAUUUAAAAACCAUGUAUUAACUAUUGAUUCCGAACCGAAAACGGACCUUUGUAAGUUGUAAAACGUUUGUUACCUAAAACACCUUUUGUUCACCUUUUUUAUAUGUGUACGAGAAGAUGUGUCGCCAAGCCAGAAGCAGCGAAACUUAAUAAUGUAAAGUAAAAAAUGUUAAAGAAAACCAGAAAAAAAUGGUAAAAGGAAACCAAACUAGCAAACAAAACCUGUAACUAUCUAUGUACGGAAACGAAAAAGUAAUACCUAAACCUUAAGUAAGAGAAGCAAAACAAAAGAAAUCCACAAUAAUGUCCGAUCUUAAAGAAACGAGAAUGAAAACUAAGAACUAUUAAUUUAUAAGAAACGAGUUGAUGAAGAAAAUCUUAAGAGAGAAAAGCAAAA